rnacentral:rRNA from 1 species
UACAGAGGGUGCGAGCGUUAAUCGGAAUUACUGGGCGUAAAGCGUGCGCAGACGGUUAUGUAAGUCAGAUGUGAAAGCCCCGGGCUCAACCUGGGAAUUGCAUUUGAGACUGUGUAGCUAGGGUGCGGAAGAGGGAAGCGGAAUUUCCGGUGUAGCGGUGAAAUGCGUAGAUAUCGGAAGGAACACCAGUGGCGAAAGCGGCUUCCUGGUCCAGCACCGACGUUCAGGCACGAAAGCGUGGGGAGCAAACAGG